CCUACGGGAGGCAGCAGUGGGGAAUUUUGGACAAUGGGCGCAAGCCUGAUCCAGCCAUGCCGCGUGUGGGAAGAAGGCCUUCGGGUUGUAAACCACUUUUGUCAGGGAAGAAACGGCCUUUACUAAUAUUAGGGGCUAAUGACGGUACCUGAAGAAUAAGCACCGGCUAACUACGUGCCAGCAGCCGCGGUAAUACGUAGGGUGCAAGCGUUAAUCGGAAUUACUGGGCGUAAAGCGUGCGCAGGCGGCUUUGCAAGACAGAUGUGAAAUCCCCGGGCUCAACCUGGGAACUGCAUUUGUGACUGCAUGGCUAGAGUACGGUAGAGGGGGAUGGAAUUCCGCGUGUAGCAGUGAAAUGCGUAGAUAUGCGGAGGAACACCGAUGGCGAAGGCAAUCCCCUGGACCUGUACUGACGCUCAUGCACGAAAGCGUGGGGAGCAAACAGGAUUAGAUACCCUGGUAGUCCACGCCCUAAACGAUGUCAACUGGUUGUUGGACGGCUUGCUGUUCAGUAACGAAGCUAACGCGUGAAGUUGACCGCCUGGGGAGUACGGCCGCAAGGUUGAAACGUUAAGAGUAGUGCGUGNGAGNGCGACGAGCACGAGGAGGUUAGG
rnacentral:rRNA from 1 species